GCUGUGGAGCGACACAUAAACGCAAGUAGUCCAGACGAAAGCGGUCGCUGAGAAACAGUGA
rnacentral:sRNA from 12 species